rnacentral:rRNA from 1 species
UACAGAGGUCCCAAGCGUUGUUCCGGAUUCAUUGGGCGUAAAGGGUGCGUAGGCGGUGAGGUAAGUUGGAUGUGAAAUCCCGGGGCUUAACCCCGGAACUGCAUUCAAUACUGCUUUGCUAGAGUACUGGAGAGGAGAUUGGAAUUCACGGUGUAGCAGUGAAAUGCGUAGAUAUCGUGAGGAAGACCAGUGGCGAAGGCGAAUCUCUGGACAGUUACUGACGCUGAGGCACGAAGGCCAGGGGAGCAAACGGG